GGAUUAUAUGAUUGUAUCAGAUCUGAAAAAGGCGAAAAACAUAAUCUAAAGAAAUUGAGCCAAAUGAAGGAAAGCUACACACUUGCAAAACAAAAUCUACUUUCAAAUCCCACCAAAUUCAUGGAGCCAUCUCAUCUAAGCAUGAUGCUUGGUGGAUGAGGAUAAAUCCAUCUUGUGGAUGAAUCCAGCUCUACGACACCCAUUCGUAAAGGACCACCAAUAUAAUAAGCAAUGAAAGCAUCAUCAGC
rnacentral:misc_RNA from 1 species